AGUGAACGCUGGCGGUAGGCCUAACACAUGCAAGUCGAACGGCAGCACAGUAAGAGCUUGCUCUUACGGGUGGCGAGUGGCGGACGGGUGAGGAAUACAUCGGAAUCUACUUUUUCGUGGGGGAUAACGUAGGGAAACUUACGCUAAUACCGCAUACGACCUACGGGUGAAAGCAGGGGAUCUUCGGACCUUGCGCGAUUGAAUGAGCCGAUGUCGGAUUAGCUAGUUGGCGGGGUAAAGGCCCACCAAGGCGACGAUCCGUAGCUGGUCUGAGAGGAUGAACAGCCACACUGGAACUGAGACACGGUCCAGACUCCUACGGGAGGCAGCAGUGGGGAAUAUUGGACAAUGGGGGAAAGCCUGAUCCAGCCAUACCGCGUGGGUGAAGAAGGCCUUCGGGUUGUAAAGCCCUUUUGUUGGGAAAGAAAAGCAGCAGGUUAAUACCCCGCUGUUCUGACGGUACCCAAAGAAUAAGCACCGGCUAACUUCGUG
rnacentral:rRNA from 1 species